UACGUAGGGCGCAAGCGUUGUCCGGAAUUAUUGGGCGUAAAGAGCUCGUAGGCGGUUUGUCGCGUCUGCUGUGAAAACCUAAGGCUCAACCUUGGGCUUGCAGUGGGUACGGGCAGACUAGAGUGCGGUAGGGGUGACUGGAAUUCCUGGUGUAGCGGUGGAAUGCGCAGAUAUCAGGAGGAACACCGAUGGCGAAGGCAGGUCACUGGGCCGCAACUGACGCUGAGGCGACGAAAGCGUGGGGAGCGAACAGG
rnacentral:rRNA from 1 species